UAAUAAACAAAGAAGGAAAGAGUAGUAAUUGAAAACUAACAGAGAGUUCUUGGCAGGUGAAAAAGAAUUAGAUUUUUAAUUAUGAACAUGGCUCCAGAGUUUAAACGUUAAUCGCGUUAAAGAUAUAAGAGCAUGACAAAAUCAUGAAUUAAGGUGGUACCGCGGAAAACUUCGUCCUUAAU
rnacentral:ncRNA from 1 species